rnacentral:rRNA from 1 species
CUGGCGGCGUGCCUAACACAUGCAAGUCGAACGAGGUCCAUCCUUCGGGAGAAGACCUAGUGGCGAACGGGUGAGUAACACGUGAAGAACCUGCCCCGAAGACCGGGAUAACCCUCCGAAAGGAGAGCUAAUACCGGAUACCCCCACCGAACCGCAUGGUUUGGUGAGGAAAUGGAUUCCGCUUCGGGAGGGCUUCGCGGCCUAUCAGCUAGUUGGUGGGGUAACGGCCCACCAAGGCAUCGACGGGUAGCUGGUCUGAGAGGACGAUCAGCCACACUGGGACUGAGACACGGCCCAGACUCCUACGGGAGGCAGCAGUGGGGAAUCUUGCGCAAUGGGCGAAAGCCUGACGCAGCAACGCCGCGUGGGGGAUGAAGGCUCUCGGGUUGUAAACCCCUUUCAGCAGGGACGAAUCAAGACGGUACCUGCAGAAGAAGCCCCGGCUAACUACGUG